CAGCCGCCGCGGUAAUACGUAGGUGGCAAGCGUUGUCCGGAAUUAUUGGGCGUAAAGCGCGCGCAGGUGGUUUAAUAAGUCUGAUGUGAAAGCCCACGGCUCAACCGUGGAGGGUCAUUGGAAACUGUUAAACUUGAGUGCAGGAGAGAAAAGUGGAAUUCCUAGUGUAGUGGUGAAAUGCGUAGAGAUUAGGAGGAACACCAGUGGCGAAGGCGGCUUUUUGGCCUGUAACUGACACUGAGGCGCGAAAGCGUGGGGAGCAAACAGGAUUAGAUACCCCCGUAGUCCCUGUCUCUUAUAC
rnacentral:rRNA from 1 species